AGAGCGAACGCUGGCGGCAGGCCUAACACAUGCAAGUCGAGCGGCCGUAGCAAUACGGCAGCGGCAGACGGGAUAGUAACACGUGGGAACGCGCCCUUCGGUUCGGAAUAACUCAGGGAAACUUGAGCUAAUACCGGAUACGUCCUUACGGGGAAAGAUUUAUUGCCGAAGGAAUGGCCCGCGUCCGAUUAGCUAGUUGGUGAGGUAAUGGCUCACCAAGGCUACGAUCGGUAGCUGGUCUGAGAGGAUGACCAGCAUCACUGGGACUGAGACACGGCCCAGACUCCUACGGGAGGCAGCAGUGGGAAUAUUGGACAAUGGGCGCAAGCCUGAUCCAGCCAUGCCGCGUGGAUGAUGACGGCCUUAGGGUUGUAAAGUCCUUUUAACGGGGAAGAUAAUGACGGUACCCGUAGAAUAAGCCCCGGCUAACUUCGUGCCAGCAGCCGC
rnacentral:rRNA from 1 species